AGAAUCAACGCUGGCGGCGUGCCUAACACAUGCAAGUCGAACGGGAAAGUGGAGCAAUCCAUGAGUAUAGUGGCGACCGGGUGAGUAACACGUGACUACCUACCCUUGAGUGGGGGAUAACCUCGGGAAACCGAGGCUAAUACCGCAUAACAUCGAAAGAUCAAAGGAGUAAUCCGCUUUUGGAGGGGUCGCGGCUGAUUAGCUAGUUGGUAAGGUAAUGGCUUACCAAGGCGAAGAUCGGUA
rnacentral:rRNA from 1 species